rnacentral:rRNA from 1 species
GAUGAACGCUGGCGGCGUGCCUAAUACAUGCAAGUCGAGCGAACAGACGAGGAGCUUGCUCCUCUGACGUUAGCGGCGGACGGGUGAGUAACACGUGGAUAACCUACCUAUAAGACUGGGAUAACUUCGGGAAACCGGAGCUAAUACCGGAUAAUAUAUUGAACCGCAUGGUUCAAUAGUGAAAGGCGGUUUUGCUGUCACUUAUAGAUGGAUCCGCGCCGCAUUAGCUAGUUGGUAAGGUAACGGCUUACCAAGGCAACGAUGCGUAGCCGACCUGAGAGGGUGAUCGGCCACACUGGAACUGAGACACGGUCCAGACUCCUACGGGAGGCAGCAGUAGGGAAUCUUCCGCAAUGGGCGAAAGCCUGACGGAGCAACGCCGCGUGAGUGAUGAAGGUCUUUGGAUCGUAAAACUCUGUUAUUAGGGAAGAACAAAUGUGUAAGUAACUAUGCACGUCUUGACGGUACCUAAUCAGAAAGCCACGGCUAACUACGUG